rnacentral:rRNA from 1 species
AGUGAACGCUGGCGGUAGGCCUAACACAUGCAAGUCGAACGGCAGCACAGAGGAGCUUGCUCCUUGGGUGGCGAGUGGCGGACGGGUGAGGAAUACAUCGGAAUCUACUCUGUCGUGGGGGAUAACGUAGGGAAACUUACGCUAAUACCGCAUACGACCUACGGGUGAAAACAGGGGAUCUUCGGACCUUGCGCGAUUGAAUGAGCCGAUGUCGGAGUAGCUAGUUGGCGGGGUAAAGGCACACCAAGGCGACGAUCCGUAGCUGGUCUGAGAGGAUGAACAGCGACACUGGAACUGAGAGACGGUCCAGAGUCCUCCGGGAGGCAGCAGUGGGGAAUAUUGGACAAUGGGCGCAAGCCUGAUCCAGCCAUACCGCGUGGGCGAAGAAGGCCUUCGGGUUGUAAAGCCCUUUUGUUGGGAAAGAAAUCCAUCUGGUUAAUACCCGGGUGGGAUGACGGUACCCAAAGAAUAAGCACCGGCUAACUUCGUGCCAGCAGCCGCCGCGG